rnacentral:rRNA from 1 species
ACGCACGCUGGCGGCAGGCUUAACACCUGCCCGUCGCGCGCAUCCUUCGGGGUGAGCGGCGGACGGGUGAGUAACGCGUGGGAACGUGCCCUCUUCUACGGAAUAGCCUCGGGAAACUGAGAGUAAUGCCGUAUACGCCCGCAAGGGGAAAGAUUUAUCGGAGGAGGAUCGGCCCGCGUUGGAUUAGGUAGUUGGUGGGGUAACGGCCUACCAAGCCGACGAUCCAUAGCUGGUUUGAGAGGAUGAUCAGCCACACUGGGACUGAGACACGGCCCAGACUCCUACGGGAGGCAGCAGUGGGGAAUCUUGGACAAUGGGGGCAACCCUGAUCCAGCCAUGCCGCGUGAUCGAUGAAGGCCUUAGGGUUGUAAAGAUCUUUCAGCUGGGAAGAUAAUGACGGUACCAGCAGAAGAAGCCCCGGCUAACUCCGUG